rnacentral:rRNA from 1 species
GGGCCCGCACAAGCGGUGGAGCAUGUGGUUUAAUUCGAAGCAACGCGAAGAACCUUACCAAGGCUUGACAUCCCGGUGACAGGUGCAGAGAUGCAUCCUUCUACGGACACCGGUGACAGGUGGUGCAUGGUUGUCGUCAGCUCGUGUCGUGAGAUGUUGGGUUAAGUCCCGCAACGAGCGCAACCCUUAUCGUUAGUAGCCAGCGCGUAAUGGUGGGCACAAUAGCGAGACUGCCGUGGAUAACACGGAGGAAGGUGGGGACGACGUCAAAUCAUCAUGCCCCUUAUGUCUUGGGCUACACACGUGCUACAAUGGCGUAUACAGAGAGAAGCGAGACUGCGAGGUGGAGCAAAUCUCAAAAAGUCGUCACAGUUCGGAUUGUAGUCUGCAACUCGACUACAUGAAGCUGGAAUCGCUAGUAAUCGCGAAUCAGCAUGUCG